rnacentral:tRNA from 1 species
GCCCUCAUAGCUCAGGUGGUAGAGCACACCCUUGGUAAGGGUGAGGUCAUGGGUUCGAGUCCCAUUGAGGGCU